rnacentral:rRNA from 1 species
CAGUAGCCGCGGGAAUACGAAGGGUGCAAGCGUUACUCGGAAUUACUGGGCGUAAAGCGUGCGUAGGUUGUGGUUUAAGUCCGUUGUGAAAGCCCUGGGCUCAACCUGGGAAUUGCAGUGGAUACUGGGUCACUAGAGUGUGGUAGAGGAUAGUGGAAUUUCCGGUGUAGCAGUGAAAUGCGUAGAGAUCGGAAGGAACAUCUGUGGCGAAGGCGACUAUCUGGGCCAACACUGACACUGAGGCACGAAAGCGUGGGGAGCAAACAGGAUUAGAUACCCCGGUAGUCCCUGUCUCUUAUAU